UACGUAGGGGGCAAGCGUUAUCCGGAUUUACUGGGUGUAAAGGGAGCGUAGACGGCGAAGAAAGUCUGAAGUGAAAGCCCGCGGCUCAACCGCGGAAUGGCUUUGGAAACUUUUUUGCUGGAGUACCGGAGAGGUAAGCGGAAUUCCUAGUGUAGCGGCGAAAUGCGUAGAUAUUAGGAGGAACACCAGUGGCGAAGGCGGCUUACUGGACGGUAACUGACGUUGAGGCUCGAAAGCGUGGGGAGCAAACAGG
rnacentral:rRNA from 1 species